rnacentral:piRNA from 1 species
CAGAACAAUAAUGUGCACAGCUA